UACGAACUGUGCGAACGUUAUUCGGAAUCACUGGGCUUAAAGGGCGCGUAGGCGGGUCAGCAAGUCCGGGGUGAAAUCUUUCGGCUCAACCGGAAAAGUGCCUUGGAUACUGCUGGUCUAGAGGGAGGUAGGGGCAUGUGGAACUUCCGGUGGAGCGGUGAAAUGCGUUGAUAUCGGAAGGAACGCCGGUGGCGAAAGCGACGUGCUGGAUCUCUUCUGACGCUGAGGCGCGAAAGCCAGGGGAGCAAACGGG
rnacentral:rRNA from 1 species